GAUGAACGCUGGCGGCGUGCCUAAUACAUGCAAGUCGAGCGAACGGACGAGAAGCUUGCUUCUCUGAUGUUAGCGGCGGACGGGUGAGUAACACGUGGAUAACCUACCUAUAAGACUGGGAUAACUUCGGGAAACCGGAGCUAAUACCGGAUAAUAUUUUGAACCGCAUGGUUCAAAAGUGAAAGACGGUCUUGCUGUCACUUAUAGAUGGAUCCGCGCUGCAUUAGCUAGUUGGUAAGGUAACGGCUUACCAAGGCAACGAUGCAUAGCCGACCUGAGAGGGUGGUCGGCCACACUGGAACUGAGACACGGUCCAGACUCCUACGGGAGGCAGCAGUAGGGAAUCGUCCGCAAAGGGCGAAAGCCUGACGGAGCAACGCCGCGUGAGUGAUGAAGGUCUUCGGAUCGUAAAACUCUGUUAUUAGGGAAGAACAUAUGUGUAAGUAACUGUGCACAUCUUGACGGUACCUAAUCAGAAAGCCACGGCUAACUACGUG
rnacentral:rRNA from 1 species